GUCGAGAAUCUUUCACAAUGGGGGCAACCCUGAUGGAGCGACGCCGCGUGGAGGAUAAGGUCUUCGGAUUGUAAACUCCUGUCAUGCGUGAACAAGGUUGCUUGGUUAAUACCUGGGCAAAUUGAUGGUAACGCAAGAGGAAGAGACGGCUAACUCUGUGCCAGCAGCCGCGGUAAUACAGAGGUCUCAAGCGUUGUUCGGAAUCACUGGGCGUAAAGGGUGCGUAGGUGGCGUGGUAAGUCAGAUGUGAAAGCCCGGGGCUCAACCUCGGAACUGCAUCCGAUACUGCCAUGCUAGAGUACUGGAGAGGUGACUAGAAUUCUCGGUGUAGCAGUGAAAUGCGUAGAUAUCGAGAGGAAUACCAAAGGCGUAGGCAGGUCACUGGACAGUUACUGACACUGAGGCACGAAGGCCAGGGGAGCGAACGGGAUUAGAUACCCUGGUAGUCC
rnacentral:rRNA from 1 species